GACGAACGCUGGCGGCGUGCCUAAUACAUGCAAGUCGAGCGAGACUCUUCGGAGUCUAGCGGCGGACGGGUGAGUAACACGUGGGCAACCUGCCUGUGAGACUGGGAUAACACCGGGAAACCGGUGCUAAUACCGGAUAAUCCUUUUUCUCUCAUGAGGCAAAGCUGAAAGUCGGUUUCGGCUGACACUUACAGAUGGGCCCGCGGCGCAUUCGCUAGUUGGUGAGGUAACGGCUCACCAAGGCGACGAUGCGUAGCCGACCGGAGAGGGUGGUCGGCCACACUGGGACUGAGACACGGCCCAGACUCCUACGGGAGGCAGCAGUAGGGAAUCUUCCACAAUGGACGAAAGUCUGAUGGAGCAACGCCGCGUGAGCGAUGAAGGCCUUCGGGUCGUAAAGCUCUGUUGUUAGGGAAGAACAAGUACCGGAGUAACUGCCGGUACCUUGACGGUACCUAACCAGAAAGCCACGGCUAACUACGUGCCAGCAGCCGCCGUAA
rnacentral:rRNA from 1 species